UGCUUACAUCCAAACAACUCCUACAGAUCAACAGAAUUAAGUACAGAUGUAUAAAGAUUCGUCGUUGUGUGAACUAUCUGAGAAGUUGCGACCCAUAUUUCUCAAUAUACUCGGAACAGUGGUAUUUGCUAUCGGAUCGAGAGUUUUCAACCAAGUUCAGAUAUUUUUAGCCAAACAUAACUGGAUCGGUACCAAAUGCUUCCUUCCUCCAUGUCAAUGACGUCAUUAUCCCUCUUGCUGAUACGUGCGACAAAAGUACAGCAUCUCAACGUGGCCAUGGACUCAUUAAUGUCAAUGCACCGAUCUCCAGAUAUAGAGAACGGCCAGUCGGUGCGUUGGGCCCGGCUGGAAUAAGGAAACUCCGCCUUACGAGAAGCUGCAACUGUCGAUGGCGGAUCGUUAAGCUUGUGGUUUGGAGUCGCUAGCGA